rnacentral:rRNA from 1 species
AUUGAACGCUGGCGGCAGGCCUAACACAUGCAAGUCGAACGGUAACAGGAAGCAGCUUGCUGCUUUGCUGACGAGUGGCGGACGGGUGAGUAAUGUCUGGGAAACUGCCCGAUGGAGGGGGAUAACUACUGGAAACGGUAGCUAAUACCGCAUAACGUCGCAAGACCAAAGAGGGGGACCUUAGGGCCUCUUGCCAUCGGAUGUGCCCAGAUGGGAUUAGCUAGUAGGUGGGGUAACGGCUCACCUAGGCGACGAUCCCUAGCUGGUCUGAGAGGAUGACCAGCCACACUGGAACUGAGACACGGUCCAGACUCCUACGGGAGGCAGCAGUGGGGAAUAUUGCACAAUGGGCGCAAGCCUGAUGCAGCCAUGCCGCGGGUAUGAAGAAGGCCUUCGGGUUGUAAAGUACUUUCAGCGGGGAGGAAGGGAGUAAAGUUAAUACCUUUGCUCAUUGACGUUACCCGCAGAAGAAGCACCGGAUAAAUCCGG